UUGACCUCGGAUCAGGUAGGAAUACCCGCUGAACUUAAGCAUAUCAAUAAGCGGAGGAAAAGAAACCAACAGGGAUUGCCCCAGUAACGGCGAGUGAAGCGGCAACAGCUCAAAUUUGAAAUCUGGCCCCCCGGGUCCGAGUUGUAAUUUGUAGAGGAUGCUUUUGGUGCGGCGCCGCCCGAGUUCCCUGGAACGGGACGCCAUAGAGGGUGAGAGCCCCGUCUGGCUGGCCGCCAAGCCUCUGUAAAGCUCCUUCGACGAGUCGAGUAGUUUGGGAAUGCUGCUCAAAAUGGGAGGUAUAUGUCUUCUAAAGCUAAAUAUUGGCCAGAGACCGAUAGCGCACAAGUAGAGUGAUCGAAAGAUGAAAAGCACUUUGAAAAGAGGGUUAAACAGUACGUGAAAUUGUUGAAAGGGAAGCGCUCGUGACCAGACUUGGGCUUGGCGGAUCAUCCGGCGUUCUCGCCGGUGCACUCUGCCUCGUCCAGGCCAGCAUCAGUUCGCCGCGGGGGAAAAAGGCGUCGGGAACGUGGCUCCUCCGGGAGUGUUAUAGCCCGUCGCGUAAUACCCUGGGGCGGACUGA
rnacentral:rRNA from 1 species